rnacentral:rRNA from 1 species
UACGUAGGGUGCAAGCGUUGUCCGGAAUUAUUGGGCGUAAAGAGCUCGUAGGUGGCGGGUCACGUCGGGUGUGAAAGCCCGGGGCUUAACCCCGGGUCUGCAUUCGAUACGGGUCUGCUGGGGUCCGGCAGGGGAGACUGGAAUUCCUGGUGUAGCGGUGAAAUGCGCAGAUAUCAGGAGGAACACCGGUGGCGAAGGCGGGUCUCUGGACCGACACUGACGCUGAGGCGCGAAAGCGUGGGGAGCAAACAGG